rnacentral:rRNA from 1 species
CCCGUCACACCAUGGGAGUCAGUUGCUCUAGAAGUCGGUGCGCCAACCUCGUGAGGCAGCCGCCUAAAGAGUGACUGGUGACUGAGGUG